rnacentral:rRNA from 1 species
CUAAACUACGGGCCGGCGGCCUCGGUAAAACGUAGAAGGCAAGGGUUAGCCGGAUUUACGUGCGGUAAAGCGCACGAAGGCGGCGGCGUAAGUCGGACGUGAAAGCUCCUGGCUCAACUGGGAGAGUGCGCUGCGAACUGAGGUCCUAGAGGGUAGGCGAAGGGGGUGGAAUUCCCGGUGGAGUGGUGAAAUGCGUAGAUAUCGGGAGGAACACCAGUGGCGAAAGCGGCCCCCUAGCCUACAACUGACGCUGAAGCGCGAGAGCGUGGGGAGCAAACGGGAUUAGAUACCCGAGUAGUC